GAGGUCGUCGGCGGGGGCGGCCCCGGGAUCCGCUCCCAUUCUUUUCUGAAAAAACGAGGUACGGAAAUGGCAGGUCAGGUCACCGGGGCACGGUACAGGCGACUCGUCUGAAAUUAAAAAAAUGAUAAAAUAUAAAAAAAAUUAAUUAAAAAAAAGUAAACCUAAAAUUUAAAAUAAGUAAACUUUUUACCCUAAUUCUUAAAAAUUUUAACUUUAAUAAUCCU
rnacentral:lncRNA from 1 species